UACGUAGGGUGCAAGCGUUGUCCGGAAUUAUUGGGCGUAAAGAGCUCGUAGGCGGUCUGUUACGUCGGCUGUGAAAACCUGGGGCUCAACUCCGGGCCUGCAGCCGAUACGGGCAGACUAGAGUUCGGCAGGGGAGACUGGAAUUCCUGGUGUAGCGGUGAAAUGCGCAGAUAUCAGGAGGAACACCGGUGGCGAAGGCGGGUCUCUGGGCCGAAACUGACGCUGAGGAACGAAAGCGUGGGGAGCAAACAGG
rnacentral:rRNA from 1 species